rnacentral:rRNA from 1 species
GAGGGCAAGUCUGGUGCCAGCAGCCGCGGUAAUUCCAGCUCCAAUAGCGUAUAUUAAAGUUGUUGCAGUUAAAAAGCUCGUAGUUGAACCUUGGGUCUGGCUGGCCGGUCCGCCUCACCGCGAGUACUGGUCCGGCUGGACCUUUCCUUCUGGGGAACCUCAUGGCCUUCACUGGCUGUGGGGGGAACCAGGACUUUUACUGUGAAAAAAUUAGAGUGUUCAAAGCAGGCCUUUGCUCGAAUACAUUAGCAUGGAAUAAUAGAAUAGGACGUGUGGUUCUAUUUUGUUGGUUUCUAGGACCGCCGUAAUGAUUAAUAGGGAUAGUCGGGGGCGUCAGUAUUCAGCUGUCAGAGGUGAAAUUCUUGGAUUUGCUGAAGACUAACUACUGCGAAAGCAUUCGCCAAGGAUGUUUUCAUUAAUCAGGGAACGAAAGUUAGGGGAUCGAAGACGAUCAGAUACCGUCGUAGUCUUAACCAUAAACUAUGCCGACUAGGGAUCGGACGGGAUUCUAUAAUGACCCGUUCGGCACCUUACGGGAAAC